GCGGCGCAGCUGGCCGAGCUCGGGCCACCGGGCGUGGGAGGCGUUGGGGCCUGCAAGCUGGGUCCGGGCAAGGGCUCUCGCAAGAAGAGCAAAUCUCCAAAAUGAUGGAGCUGGCCAGAGAGAAACAGGCGGCAGAGCUGAAGGCCCUGAAGGAGACGUCGGAGAAGUACGACUGCCUCCCUCCCACACCUGCCUCGCCUCCCAGCAAGGGCUCAGCCGCACAAAACAGCUCCUUCAUGCCUGUCUCUCUGCAGCGACACCAAAGAGAUGAAGAAAAAGCUGGAGACGAAGAGACUGGAGCGGAUCCAGGGCAUGACCAAAGUCACCGCAGACAAGAUGGCCCAGGAGAGGUUGAAGAGAGAGAUUAACAACUCCCACAUCCAGGAAGUAGUGCAGGUGAUCAAGCAGAUGACGGAGAACUUGGAGGGGCACCAGGAGAAGCUGGAGGAGAAGCAGGCGGCUUGCCUGGAACAGAUACGGGAGAUGGAAAAGCAGGUAACAGGUUCACUACUGGGGCCCCCAGCAGAACUGAAGGGGUUCCGGGUUGUAAAGGGGCCUUGCCCCAGGGAGCUGCCAGUGAGAGGGUAGGGGAAGGGGGCCGUCAUCCUUCACUGUGGGGUCCCGAGGCCCUUUCAAAUGAGGCAGCUCUGCAGAUCUCUGCCUGGUUAGGAUCCCCUUUCUCGAGAGGCUUCUGAUGGGCU
rnacentral:sRNA from 1 species